GUGCUUGCUUCGGCAGCACAUUUUCUAAAAUUGGAACGAUACAGAGAUUAGCAUGGCCCCUGGGCAAGGAUGACACACAAAUUUGUGAAGGAUUCCGUAUUUUC